CGUGUCUCAAUGGUAUAAAACACGUAUACAUAUACCAUGUUUACGUUUUGCGAUCGGAAGUUGUGGGAUAUAUUGUCAAAAUACCAACAUUCUUACCGCCAGUGAUUUAUUAGCAAUCUAUAAAGGACAAACAUGAAAAUAUUCGUGCUGGGAUGUAUGUGCGUGUUGAGCGUGAUUGCCAUGGUUUCUUCCACGGCAAUGUAUGGUGCUUAUCCGGCCUAUACCGGCGUUGGAUACGGUAGCUAUGGAUACGGGGCAGUAGGCGGCGGCGGCGGAUUCGGGGGCAUCUUUGGCAUCCUUAUUUUCUUGUUUGUAUUUAUCAUCAUUAUCAACCUUCUGUUCGGCGGUGGUAUCGGAGGCGGCAAUCAAGGCGGUGGCGGUGGAUACACGAACAACAAGAACAAUUACUAGACAGUGAUCAACCUUGUGACAACCAUUCGACGACACGAUUUAUGGAAACAAGAACAAGCUUCUGUAAUACUAUGUAACAUUAUGUAUGCAUAUUAAAUAAGAGCAUCCCUCAA